UAGAAAAGACAACGGAAAUUAACAAACAACUCAAAUUGAAAUACAGUCUAAUAGACUAACAGUCUAACCAAACCGAACGCAGUGAUUUAGUCUAAAUUCAAGCGGCUAACUGAACACAGCACACACACUAAACGCGAAAUGGAAGCAAAAACACCAAGUAACAUUCUAAAUACUAGCGAUGAACAAUAUUUAAUUGGGCAAUCGAGUCCAACGCGUGAUGCGGGCCCUUGCCGCUUGUCGUGGUUCCUUGUGCGCAACGAUCCACUUUAUGUGCCCGACUAUGGCGUCUAUCGUUUAAUACAUGGCAUGGACUUAAUAGAUCCCGAUUAUACCAAUGCAUAUGCGGGUAAUAUCCUGAGUUAUAAUAUCGGUACAGCAACAAUAACCGGCAGAAUGUUGGCCGUCGCUGAUAAUGUGAAGCUCGUGCAACGCGCCUUAAACGAUUGGCUAAAGGAAGAUCGUAAAAAAUAUCCAAUAUUCAAAUCGAACAUAUUCGUACAAUAUCGUGCGGCUGCCAAUCGUUUGGUGCACCGAAUACUACAUGAGGAACAGGCGGUGCCUUUGUCAUCAACUGAGAAUCCGCACGUUAGCGAUAUGGAUAUAUUUGUGCGUGAUGGCGAACGGUUGACGCAGGCCAAGAUACUGUCACGUAACAGUAACGCCGACGAAUUAAUAAAUGAUUUGACUAGGGUGACUAGCAACAUAACGGAGAAAAUCUCCGGUAGCUUCGCAUCGAUUAAUCUCGAUGUGGACGCCACCACCGUACCGAAAAACAAUCCAUGGUUGCUAAUACAGUUUAGCGUGAGUGUGCGUGAUAGCAUCUAUUCAAUUGUACGCUAUAAUGAUACCAUUGGAUGGGAAUAUAAUGCCUUUCCAGGCUUGCAAACAUAUCUACUGGUUGGCAAGACACUGUUUCAAGCUUUAAUCAUACACAAGUCGCACAGUUACAGUGCCGUGGUAGCAGCAAUGGAUACGAUAAUGAGUUCGUGUAUAGUGUCGAUGUACCCGCAUUAUGACGAUCAUGAGUAUCGUAAUCCGGAAAUAGAGAAGGUAUGUCGUAAUUUGAAAUGGGAAACCUUUGAAGAACUGCGCGCCCAACUAGCUGAAGUCUUAAAAAGCGCUAAUGAGGARACAAUAUAACGCUUGAGUUUUGCGAUGUGAAAGGAGUGAGUAAUGUAGAGACAGAGAGGAAGUUAAAAAGCGCGAGAAAGAGAGAGCUUUACGACAGUAGUAAACUUCAAAAUGCCACAUAGUUGACAUUACACAUAUUUUAUAUAAAUAUACAGGAUUAUUUAUUUCAAUCUCUUCCCCCUUAAAACACCAUUUGUGCCUUAUCGCUUGAAGACAGGAUCUGUAAACUUUUAGUUUGAACUCGAUAGUAUUUGUAGCAAUAUUCCCACAAAUAUGCCAACCGAUAACGCGGCUUCGGGUACUGAUGAUUAGUAUGAGGAAGCAGAAAGAUAUACGAAAGACUGUGUACAAAGCAUUGAGAUCCACGAUGAUGACAUCAUUAAUUGUAAA